ACAAUUACUCCCAUCUACCUACUUCAAUAUUGCCCAUCUACGAACUUAACCUCAUGAAUAUCAUUCUGUGUUAAUUAAAAUAAAAAAUUUGAAAAUCGGAAAAAAAUUACUCGAGUUAUCGAGUCCACAAGGAAAAGCGUCUGUGUAGAA